UCAUAAUAAUAAUAAUAAUAAUAAUAAUAAUAACAUUUAUUUUAAUUCUAUUAAGUAUAUUUGAAAGUAUAUUAUUAAAAUAAAAUAAUACUUUAUUAAUAAAAUAAAGUCAGCAAUCAGAAACGCAUGAAAUGUAAGUAACACACCACCUGAAAUGAUAAAUACACCUAAAACAUUCAUUACUCACAGUCCCAUAAGCCCCUGCAUUCAUUUUCUUGUUAACUUGAGUUUUGCUUUCACGAGCAGGUAAAUCAAUAAUGAUUGAACUUCCGAAAACAAGAAAGCAGCAAACUGUCUGUGUGAUAAACAGGCUCGUCAACUCUAUUAAUAUAUUUAAUCAAUGACUAAUGAGGCGAUGAGUCAAUUCUUAUUUAUCGGACAUGCUGUCUUCACACAAACUGACAAAUAUGUCAGGACACUCCCACACAGUUUACUAAUAUUUAUCAGAACCGACAGGAGCCAUAAAGUCGAGGACAAUGUGCUGACGUGUCACAUCUGCUGAACUUGUAAUUGGUGUGUUUCCGAUUAACAAGGCAACCAGGAGUCAACUCAGCUGAUGAAGAAGCCUUCAGAGACCGCAGCCAAUCAGAGCUCAGCUCCUCAGCACCUCUUAAGAGUUACUGAGUGUGGUUCAUUAUCUGCUCUGAUUUGCAUGAGUUGGUUCAGAACCACCAGGGAAAUAGUGAGGAACACACCAGCUGUGAACAUCAGUCGAACAUGAAACUGACUCAGAUAUUUGUAUCUAAGGUAAGCUUUUCCACUGAGUUUCUUAAAUGUUGGUUAAAGUUCUGUCUGUUCUUCUCGCAAAACUUUAUGGCUUCAAAUGACUUGGAAUAUAGUGGCCACACCCUUAAAAAUAAAUGUUAUUUAUUGGCAUCUAUGGUUCCAUGAAGAACCGUUAGCAUCCAUGCACGGUCAUGAACUUUGAUGGAAAUAAGCUAUGUGAAGAUUCUUCAAAAUUCCCGUUUUGUGUGGAAGAAAUAGUAAUACAGGUUUGGAAAACUUGAAGGGGCUUGAGUUUUGCAGUAUUGAUCGGAAUGUUUUAUUCACCUCAUUGCUGAAAAUCUCAAUACUUUAUUUUGUAUUCUGUCCUUUCAUUCAUCCCUAAUUCUUACUAUUUUACACCAUCAUCAUUUUCCCCCUCUCUAUUCUAAGUAAGCUAAAUGUUUCAGCAGCUACCGUCUCUGUGGCAGGUUAAAUUAGGCAGAAAUGAUCACUCCUGGGAGCUGAGAGGAUGCGGCAGGAUGUGUAAAACAGACGGAGGAAGAAUCCCAGUACCUGGAAACACAUACUCUGUUCUCUAGAAAGACAGCUGACCUAGUUCCCAGAGAACAUGUUUCCAGCCUGCAGGCCUCCAGUUAAAUGCUGAUCAUUAAAGCAACAACAAAGCUUUGUCCACAAAUGCUCCCUGCGGAGAAUCUGGAACACCCUUCCAUACUGUGAUGGACUUGGGAUAACCAGGAUCCAUCGUUCUCAUGUCUUCGUUAUAUCUCCAAUACCUGCAUAUAGAAGUAGGUCUUGGCUACGUCCUCCCACCAGACGGCUGUCUCUAUACUCUGUGCUGGCAUGCCGUUUCCAAACAUUGAGAUGUCCUGGGGGUAGCCAGGCUGUAGCAUUGUGUCCUUGAACACCCAGAACUGCUUCCCUA